rnacentral:rRNA from 1 species
AAAUUGAAGAGUUUGAUCAUGGCUCAGAUUGAACGCUGGCGGCAGGCCUAACACAUGCAAGUCGAACGGUAACAGGAAGAAGCUUGCUUCUUUGCUGACGAGUGGCGGACGGGUGAGUAAUGUCUGGGAAACUGCCUGAUGGAGGGGGAUAACUACUGGAAACGGUAGCUAAUACCGCAUAACGUCGCAAGACCAAAGAGGGGGACCUUCGGGCCUCUUGCCAUCAGAUGUGCCCAGAUGGGAUUAGCU